GAUUCUAGUAGUUUUUUUGUAAGUAUGCAUACUUAAGAUUCUAGUAGUUUUUUUUGUUAGUAUGCAUACUUAAGAUUCUAGUAGUUUUUUUUGUUAGUAUGCAUACUUAAAAUUCUAGUAUUUUUUUGUUAGUAUGCAUACUUAAGAUUCUAGUAUUUUUUUGGAUUCUAGUAGUUCUUUUUCUAAGUAUGCAUACUUAAGAUUCUAGUAUUUUUUUGGAUUCUAGUAUUUUUUUGGAAGUAUGCAUACUUAAGUUUCUAGUAGGGUUUUUUUGGAUUCUAGUAGUUUUUUUUGUAAGUAUGCAUACAUAAGAUUCUAGUAGUUUUUUUGGAUUCUAGUAGUUUGUUUUUUUAUUUGUAAGUAUGCAUACUUAAGGUUCUAGUAGUUUUUUGUUAGUAUUUGUAUAUAUUUUUGUACCAUGUACGUUUUAUGUUUCUAUGCUUAAACACUUCUUUGUAUUAGUAGAUCAGGGUUAAAUGUUGGGUAAGUUAGUGUUUUUUUACGGGCUGAAAUUAGAAAUAAAGAUGUAAUUUGUGAAGAGUUUCAUUCGUUGCUGGAUUAGCACACACAGCCCACCUAAGAGACUGUUCAGUGAUAAUGGUGGAGAGUUGAACAACGAGGAAAUAAGGGCCAUGGCAGAAAAGUUCAACAUUGAGGUAAAGACCACAGCAGCAUAUAGUCCCUGAAGCAAAUGGUCUUUUAGAGAGACACAAUCAGACCCUCACAGAAAUACUGAUGAAAGUUUAAAAAAAAAAAAAAAAAAAGACAAUAAAUAUGACUGGAAAACUGCCCUAGAUUGGGCAUUGAUGGCAAAAAAGUCCAUGCACAAUGUAUAUGGAUUUAGAUAUCAACUUGUGUUUGGAUAAAAUCCAAAUCUACCCUCAAUCUACCAAAUCUACCAAGAGUUGUUAUGGCAGUCACAUGUCAGAAGGUGAACUCCAUAGAUAUCAAAGCUGCUUU
ensembl:lncRNA